rfam:Candidatus Nanopusillus sp. Nst1 Nst1_C4, whole genome shotgun sequence.
GCCCCGAUAGCUCAGCGGUAGAGCGGUGGACUCGUAAUCCACAGGCCCGGGUUCAAAUCCCGGUCGGGGCU